rnacentral:rRNA from 1 species
AUUGAACGCUGGCGGCAUGCUUUACACAUGCAAGUCGAACGGCAGCGCGGGCUUCGGCCUGGCGGCGAGUGGCGAACGGGUGAGUAAUGCAUCGGAACGUGCCCAGUAGUGGGGGAUAGCCCGGCGAAAGCCGGAUUAAUACCGCAUACGACCUGAGGGUGAAAGCGGGGGACCGAAAGGCCUCGCGCUAUUGGAUCGGCCGAUGUCGGAUUAGCUAGUUGGUGGGGUAAAGGCUUACCAAGGCGACGAUCCGUAGCUGGUCUGAGAGGACGACCAGCCACACUGGGACUGAGACACGGCCCAGACUCCUACGGGAGGCAGCAGUGGGGAAUUUUGGACAAUGGGGGAAACCCUGAUCCAGCCAUGCCGCGUGCGGGAAGAAGGCCUUCGGGUUGUAAACCGCUUUUGUUCGGGAAGAAAUCCUCUGGGCUAAUACCCCGGGGGGAUGACGGUACCGGAAGAAUAAGCACCGGCUAACUACGUG